AUUUCUUCAUAAAACUGCUGCCCCCUACGAUACAACAGAUGUCAGAAGAUCCACACAGCAGUGGAUCCCUCAGCCUUGUCCUAUCCACAGUCCACCCAUGCCCUGUGGAGCUGAGCCCUGUGCAGGUGAUGCAGAACAACAGCAGCUGCUGCUACUCCAAAGUACCAAGUGACAUUACAGCCCUGUGCCCUAGAACCAGGUGUCCAAAGAAUGGAGGUUUUACAGUGAGGGCUGCGGAAUAAGGCUCAUGAUCUGGCACAAUGUAAAAUUCAUACUGUCACAGGAGUUUCUAAAAUCAAUAUGAAAGACCCCCUGCUGGAUAGACACAAAAG